CAGUAUUAUUAAAUUCAGAUAUUCAAAUUUGUUUUGUUUUUUUUUAGUUUUAGUAUUAUUAAUAUAGCUUAACAGAUAUAUUGGACUGAAGUAUGUUUCGCUAUGUUUGAAUUCUCUGACAUCGGUCUUAACAGUGGUUUUGACCACUGUUAUGUUUAGACAUCACUGUUAGGUUAAACAAUGAUUGAUGGAACAGAAUUUCCCUAACCCUAUUCUGUGAUACCAUUGUUAAAGUAACAUCGCAAUAGUGGAACCAACAUAAGUAUAUUUUUUAAACAUAGGGGGUACGUUCGUAGAAACGUUGGCAAGAACCCACAGAAAUUUCCUGGUCGUGACCGGAUGACGUCAUCAGUCGAAGCCGGAGAUGUGUUUCUACGAACGGCAGUGGUCGCUUAAUCACAUGUACAACAUGGCGGUUGUUUUUGAAAACCAAAGCCAAAAGAACAAAAUAAUUAUAUCAGCAAUUACAUCUGCAGUAAAUUUAUUUAUUGAUAAUGAAGCGGAGUCCGAGAACUUACAAUUAAUAAAUUUAAUGUUAAAUAUUUUAAUGGAAAAAAUAGUAAAGGGAAAAGAUUAUAUAAAGUACAAAGCUACUAUGAAUAUGUUAUUCCACGGUAAGUAGUUACUGAUCUAUACUUAAAAUCUUGUAUCGCCGACGUAUAACCAAUUUUCAUAGUUUGGACUAUAAAACGAGCAUUGAUCACAUUGAUAAAUACUGCUUCCGCCAUCUUGGAAUAAACAACCCGACCACAUGGUAUCAUUAACCCAGCUCUUCAGCUGGGUCGUUUCAGUCACAACCAGGGUUGUAACCAUCAGUCGUGACCACUGUAAAUCAAACGGCAUUGGUAGUUUUAAAGAACGGUUAUGGUCAUCACCGGUAUGACUCAAGGUUGUUGCCUACGUUUCUACAAACACACCCUAUAUUGCAAAUUCUAUAUUUGCAAUUUGUAUGCCACAAAUUUAUUAGCAACUAGUUUGUCAUUUGCAGACAGGUUUUUUUUUUAUAGACUAGUUAUCACCAUUAUCUGAAUACAUUGAUAUAUAUCAAUAAUAAGAAUUUUAUUAGAUCAGGAUUAAGACCUUUAUUCCAAAAAUUGUAUAUCUGUUUUUCAGAAAUACAUUUUAGAUAUAUUUUUUACAUCCCUCAUCAGUCUGAUAAUUUAUUUUUAAACGUUAAAGGUUUUGUACAGGGAGAAAAUCCAGAUUAGUAUUUAUCAUACAUCAAAAUCCUUUGAUGGAAUAUAGAAAGAGAAUCACAUUAAUUAAUAUAUGAAGUAACAACAUGCAAUAAAUGCAUUUAUUGAGGUUAUUGUAACCAUUAUAAUAAGACUCUCUCUUUCAAUAGGGGAGAACCUUUAUUGCAAAUGGUUAUGAAACUAAUGAAGUUUAUAGGCUAAAGUAAAAUCCAGUAGAAUGUGCUUAUUACCUGUAGUUACUUCAUUAGUCAAUAGUGCCAUAUGAUCUUAUGUAGUCUCUAAGUUUAUCAAUGUUCAAAAAAGAGUAUUAAGUUAUAAAAAGGGAUUGUUAAUGUUCAAC
rnacentral:lncRNA from 1 species